GAAGUGAGCCAGACGAUCGCUGCUGUGGAGGUCUUUGUGACUAAAACAGGGGAGGAAAGUCCGGGCUUCAAAGGGUAAGGUGCCAGAUAACGUCUGGGCGGCGUGAGCCGACGGCAAGUGCAGCAGAGAGUAGACCGCCAAAAUCCCCCUUAAUCCCCCUUUAUUAAAGGGGGAACUCCUCCCUUUUUAAAAGGGAGGCUGGGAGGGAUUUCGGUAAGGGUGAAAGGGUGCGGUAAGAGCGCACCGCAUGGCUGGUAACAGUGCAUGGCAAGGUAAACCCCACCUGAAGCAAGACCAAAUAGGAAUCCAUUAGGUGUGACCCGCAUCGGAUUCGGGUAGGUUGCUUGAGCAUGUGAGUAAUUGCAUGCCUAGAGGAAUGAUCGUUCUCGACAGAACCCGGCUUAUCGGCUCACUUCACCA
rnacentral:RNase_P_RNA from 1 species